rnacentral:rRNA from 1 species
GGGGAAUUUUCCGCAAUGGGGGCAACCCUGACGGAGCAACGCCGCGUGGGGGAGGAAUGUCUGUGGAUUGUAAACCCCUUUUCUCAGGGAAGAAGUUCUGACGGUACCUGAGGAAUCAGCAUCGGCUAACUCCGUGCCAGCAGCCGCGGUAAGACGGAGGAUGCAAGCGUUAUCCGGAAUUAUUGGGCGUAAAGCGUCCGUAGGCGGUUGAUCAAGUCUGCCGUUAAAGACUGCAGCUUAACUGUGGGCGAGCGGUGGAAACUGAUGAACUAGAGUACGGUAGGGGUAGAGGGAAUUCCCAGUGUAGCGGUGAAAUGCGUAGAUAUUGGGAAGAACACCAGUGGCGAAGGCGCUCUACUGGGCCGUCAGUACUC